rnacentral:lncRNA from 1 species
CGGGUGUUGGGUUGGUGGAGGUUGUGCCACCAUGUUGUAAACGGGUUGCUCCCGGUAGACUUCGGAUGGCAUUCUCUGUACGUUGGUGUAGUAGCCUUGACCGGCUUGUCCGGUUACCGGUCGAACCAUUUGUUGCGUUGCUGGUGCAGAAGCUGGAGCUGGAACUUGUGGAGGCGCGUGGUAGACGGUGGCCGGAGCAUGUCCUUGUGCUGGGAUCAUGUAGACUGGAUGUUCAGAGUGCGGAGGUGGGCCGGGGUUUGUAGUUACGGUUGCAGGGAAACCU